rnacentral:tRNA from 1 species
AAGCCCAGGGCACCCAUUCCGGGUGCUUGUUUAAAUUUGCACUUUAAACCUUAUUCCCGGGCU